rnacentral:rRNA from 1 species
GCUUACGGCCAUACCACCCUGAGAACGCCCGAUCUUGUCUGAUCUCGGAAGCUAAGCAGGGUCGGGCCUGGUUAGUACUUGGAUGGGAGACCACCUGGGAAUACCAAGUGCUGUAAGCU